CCCCCAUCCAUAAGAUGGCGAACCUCCUGCUUCUCUUCCGAGUCCUCGGUUCCCACUGGCGCCACCUGAAGCCCAAUCACCUCUCUCCCCCUCCCAAUCCCAGCACCUAGCCAAUAGCCACCAGCCCCGUAGAAGUGACACCACAAUCACCCCAUGCCCCUUCCUAUAUAACCCAGCACCUUUCCCUAAUAAAGAGGAAUUCUCCGGUGAAUUGCUGCUGUGUGUUGCUCCUUUCCUUUCAUUGGUGCCGAAACCCGGGAGACAGGAUACCCCAACUGGGCCCCGUCUUCCCCCCGACACCAGCAGCAGCUUGCCCUCGUCCUCUUUUUCUGGCGCUGGCUCAUCACACUCACCACUCCUCUCUGGCCUUUGGCUUUUACUCAGGAACUACCAGCUUUUAGCCACAGAAGAUCCCUCACCCUCACGUAACCUCCUCACCACACGCUGAGAUGGACCCCUCUCUCCGCUGGAAACUGUUCCUGGAAACAAUGGCUGCAGAUGCCUGGCUUCUGGCACCCGUGUCCUCUUGGCACCAUUAGAAUCAACAAGUCCUCGACCUAUGGUUACAGGGAACCUUCAUUGAUUUCCAACCUGAAGAAGUCCACAUCUACUCGUCCUUACUGUGGGGAGUCCUAUCAACCCUUUCCUCCCAGUCCUCAAGCCCUCACUCCCUUCUCUGCCCCCGUUCAGCAGGAAGCAGUCAGAGAGAAAGCAACAUCCACAACCCCAUAGAGGAGAAAGGGGGGAAUGAAGGGCCCCCACCCAUAAGAUGGCGAACCUCCUGCUUCUCUUCCGAGUCCUUGGUUCCCGCAGGCGCCACCUGAAGCCCAAUCACCUCUCUCCCCCCUCCCACUCCCAGCACCUAGCCAAUAGCCACCAGCCCCGUAGAAGUGACACCACAAUCACCCCAUGCCCCUUCCUAUAUAACCCAGCACCUUUCCCUAAUAGAGCGGAAUUCUCCGGUGAAUUGC